rnacentral:rRNA from 1 species
AUGAACAAAAACAUCCACAAUACAAAACUUGCGUCCAAAUUGUUCUUCUCCCUAUGCACAAUCUUCAGAACUCCUGAUGCCUCAGCAAUUGAUGCCGCACUGCUUCACAUCAGGCCCCUUGGCCUUGACGGUGAAGGGGUCGAUCCUGACCCAGAGCAGGGAGAAGAUGGAGGCCAGCAGCACGGACCAGAUGAUGACGAUGGUGGGCGUCCUGUUCUGCCUCCCCAUGAGACCCUUGAGGAACGGGUAGAGAUGCACGAUCACCCAGAAGGCGAAGAAGAGCUUGCCGAAGAGCGGGCCCCACGACUGGUACCCGUUGUUGAUGGCGUCGGAGAUGCCCGCCACCACGCCGAUGAUGUUGAUGACGAGCAGCGUCGUCGGCGGGAUGAGGAGGGUGGUCCACUUGAAGGCGUAGAGCUCCGCAAACUCGUCGUCCUCGUCUCCCGUGGCCUUGGAGGUGACGGUGAAGUUGGUGUCGAUCCCGGCCAGGACCUUGAGCAGGCCCUGGAUGACGGCGAACAGGUGCGCCGACACGCCGCCGAUGACCCAGAACUGCUCGUUCCUCCACCACUCCUCGAUGCUCACCCCGCUCCACCGCAGCUCCAGGAUGCCCGUCGCGAAGAUGGAGAUGAAGAGGGAGAUGAAGAAGAGACUGGCGAACGUGCUAAUCUGCAGCAACACAAUAAUAACACCACAAAACCGUCAGACAUUUGA